UAAGGAAUAUUGGACAAUGGACGCAAGUCUGAUCCAGCCAUGCCGCGUGAAGGAAGAAGGCGCUCAGCGUUGUAAACUUCUUUUGGACGGGGACAAACCGCUUCAUUUAUGGGGCGCUGAGGGUACCGUCAGAAUAAGCACCGGCUAACUCCGUGCCAGCAGCCGCGGUAAUACGGAGGGUGCAAGCGUUAUCCGGAAUCACUGGGUUUAAAGGGUGCGUAGGCGGCCCGAUAAGUCAGUCGUGAAAUCG
rnacentral:rRNA from 1 species